rnacentral:lncRNA from 1 species
CAAUGAUCGGGAUAUAAACCCAGGCAUUCAAGCCGGCAAUGGCUACCCUCUUUGGGUCCCCUCCCUUUGUAUGGGAGCUCUGUUUUCACUCUAUUAAAUCUUGCAACUGCACUCUUCUGGUCCGUGUUUGUUAGGGCUCAAGCUGAGCUUCUACUUGCCUUCCACCACUGCUGUUUGCAGUCAUCGCAGACCCGCCGCUGACUUCCAUCCCUCCGGAUAUGGCAGGGUGUCCGCUGUGCUCCUGAUCCAGGGAGGCGCCCAUUGCCGCUCCUGAUCAGGCUAGAGGCUUGCUGUUGUUCCUGCAUGGCUAAGUGCCUGGGUUUGUCCUAAUCAAGCUGAACACCAGUCACUGGGUUCCAUGGUUCUCUUCCAUGACCCACGGCAUCUAAUAGAGCGAUAACACUCAUCGCAUGGCCCAAGAUUCCAUUCCUUGGAAUCCGUGAGGCCAAGAACCCCAGAUCAGAGAACAUGAGGCUUGCCACCAUCUUGGAAGCAGCCCGCCACCUUUUUGGAAGCGGCCCGCCACCAUCUUGGGAGCUCUGGGAGCAAGAACCCCCGGUAACAGAGGGAAUUUUCACUUGCUUCCAUCAAGAAAAGUGAGCCCAUCUGCAUCUGCAAAGGUGGAGAGCCAUCUUAACCUUGAGCCACCAUUACUAGGAAUGAGCGUUCCUAGCAAUGUGGGACAAGACCUCCUAGGAAUGAGUCUUCUUUGCAACACAGAAACUGAACUUCUAGGAAUGAACUAUCCUAGCAAUGAGAAACCAGCCCAAAUAAGGAGAAGAAAGCAACUUGAGACCAGGAACCCAUAUUCCUUUUAAAAUAUUUUGUCAAAAAUGUUUUCUUCAAAGAGGGUAAUGUGAAAAAAAUUGAAUUUUGGGACUGCAAACUCACUUAGCCAAGGGAAAAAGUCAAGCUGGAAACUGGGUCACACAAACCUGCCUUCCCCUUUUGGUUCCUAAGUAAGAUUGCUACAAGAUGAAAAGCCACAUGCCUCCUCCAUAUUUUGCCCACAUUGAAAUUCCUAGUGAGCUUCAAGAUCUUUUAAGGUGCUUCUGUUAAAAUUUCACUAUGGUAAUAUAAAUUGAUAGCUUAUCUUUACAGGUGCAGUCACCUUUGGCCCACCAGACACAAAUGCAUAUCUGUUUGUUUCCCCUGCCCCAUUUUGUCUAUGUUAUCUUAUGUAAAAUGCAGAUUCCCUGCAUUUUUCCUCUACCCCAUUUGUCUGUCACCUUAUGUAAAAAAAAAUUCAGAUUCACUGAGACAGACAAAGUCAUGAAUAUUUUUCUUUACCCUUCUCUUACAUAAAAAUUGUGUACUUCUCAAUAUCCCACCCUUUCUCCUUUAAGUUUGGAGCCCUCAAAAUCAUCUUUGGAGAAAGGCAUAGACCUGUCUCCUGGGUGCACCUGCUUAACUUUGGCAAAUAAACCUCCUAAAAUGAUU